UUGAAGUUGAAGCUUUUCCUCCCAUUAUGCCAGGGACAAGAAUCGCGGAUGAAGAUCGUAAAAAAAUCGAUACGAAAUUCAUCUGCACCAUCUGUAACUUGUUGUUAUGCAUUCCCAUGCAAACUCAAUGUGGACACUUGAUGUGUUUUGCCUGCCUGCAAAUAUUGCUAGAGUAUGUUGAUUUUCUUUAUUGCUAUGCUUUAAUAGAAAUAAUAAUAGUUUUGAGAC